UACGAAGGGGGCUAGCGUUGUUCGGAAUCACUGGGCGUAAAGGGCGCGUAGGCGGCUGUUCAAGUCGGGGGUGAAAGCCUGUGGCUCAACUCCAGAACUGCCUUUGAUACUGAGGAUCUUGAGUACGGGAGAGGUGAGUGGAACUGCGAGUGUAGAGGUGAAAUUCGUAGAUAUUCGGAGGAACACCAGUGGCGAAGGCGGCUCACUGGUCCGGUACUGACGCUGAGGUGCGAAAGGCGUGGGGAGCGAACAGG
rnacentral:rRNA from 1 species